ensembl:lncRNA
AUAGUAAUAGCACAAGAAAUAAGUUUAAGGGCUUUCAAUUUUUCAGCACUGUCACAGCCUUCUGAUACAGCACGGAAAAACGCAUGCCCUUGCUCUCCGCAUCAGUGACAAUAAUAACUGGUUCUUGUGCCUUGCCUGUACAAGAGUGCUGAAAACUCUUCCCACAAGGGGAUGACCAAUAAGCCAUAGUAUGCUCAGAACUGUGCCCGCAGAGCCCACCUCUCUGGAUGCUGCUGGACAACAUAGCUGUAACACAUGCAGGUGAUACAUGGAAGCUUGGAAGAUUAUCCAACAAUCUGCAAGAGAACUAGAGUGGGAUGGAUAGUGCUGAAGAAAAAAAAAAUAGAAAAAGGAAAGAGAGGACAUAACUGCAGGGUUCCUGUAUCUGGUAAGGAAUGCAUGUGUGAAACAGGAAGUUCUUGUGGUCCUACAUCAAUCUUCACCUACUUUUACUCAUCUGUUCAUGAAAUAAUUUUUCCAUUUUUCCAAUGGCCUACCCAUCUGUCCAUCAGUCCAUCCAAUGCUCCUUGAAUUAAUAGAUCUGGACUGGCUGGAAAAUUUCUCAUGGCACAAUAUGUUGAUGAGGGAAUGAAAACUUGUCAGAACUUCUGUCCUCUGACACGAGGAAGAGGAAGGCCAUCUGAUGCUUCCUUCAGAACAAAAGUGGAUGUCCAGAAGAGCUGAACUUUGUACAGAUUUCUUCAUAGGAAAAAAAGCUGUCUUUUAUCCAGGCCCUGCUACUCAGCUUUCCAGUGCAGCAUGAGAUCUGCAGAGAAACUACCCGCCAUGAAGAACAAUUCAUGCACUGUUGAUUUUUCAGAAGAUGUCAGUAAACUACAUACUUUCCAGAGACACCCAAAGUAAAGAGUGUGCUGCUACCCCACCAGGGAAGUGGAAACAGAUUUUCACCUCAUGAUGUUACUCCAGGAGCCUGAAGACAGUCUGAACCGCUGGGAUUAAGGCAUAGGAACUGUGAGUGGUUGGGGAUGACAAAGUUUGUGUAGAAAUUUGAAACCAGAGAAACUACUGCUUGUAGUUAAACAAAAGAAAUUCCAUAACAAAGAGAGAUGAUGGGAAAAAAAAAAAAAAAAAAAAAAAACCUGCCUGGAAAAUAUUCAGCAGUUCACAAUUUCUUAAAGGACUGAAAUCUAGUGUUGCCUUGACUAAAUCCUGCUGACAAAGGCAGUUUCUGCAGCAGCAUUCAGGAUCCUCCAGUGUUCUGUGAUUUAUUUUGCCUGGUUUUGUCCCCUCUCUUCAGUCUUCAGUUGCUUUGUACAGCUACAGAACAUCAAGAGGAAAGGUUCCAGUGUUUCCUACGUCUUUGCAAGUUGGGUCUUCUGAAUUCUUUUUAUUCAUCUGUCUUCUGCCUUCCUGGGCAGUUUUGGAUUUCUGCAAAAUGUUCUACAUAGGACUUUAAAUUCAACUUGAAAGUUUCAAUCUGUGAGAAGAGUAUCCAUCAACUCCAUCUUGCAAAUGUGUUUCUGGAUAGCACAGCAUAAGAUGCACGUUACUUCUUUUGUGUGGUUAUGUGAGGGUCUCUCCUUUACCAAGUAUGCAAGGUGUGAGAACAAAGAAAAGAAAGAGAACUCAGUGGAACAGAAG